rnacentral:lncRNA from 1 species
CAAAACUCAUAUUGCAGGCAAAAACCUGUGAAAAAUAGAUUUAAAAAAAUGUGAAUUUUGUGACCACUAGAUGUCAACGAUCUUUAUAAAGUUGUUUGAAGCGUCUAUGAUAAACAGAGAGCAAAUUAGAAUCCAAGGAAGUUGACAUGUCAUCACUUCAUUUUUUUGCGCCUGCGCAUAAAUCUGAGAAACAAACCACAUUUGUUCCGGACCUGGAAUGCCUUCCGGACCUGGGAUCCUGCCUUCUGAUGGAGAUAAUCAAAGGUGAAUUACAGGAGAAGGUGAUUCACUCAGUACAACCAGGAGACUGGGUGUGGAUCCAGUCCCUGAGGAGAAAAGACGGGAAGCAGCCCCGUUGGGAAGGCCCAUACCAGGUUCUGUUAAACCACUGCCUUUGCCAUUAGAAAAGCUGAGAGAGUCACUUGGGUCCACGUUACCCACUGCAAGGAGGUAUGUACACAUAUGAACACUGUUGAUCACACACAGAGUUAGGAGAAGAACCGAUACCAACAGGGUCCGGGGGUUACCUCCUUAACGAAGAUUUCCUAUCCCGACCGUUCAUCACUGUGUGUGCUCCUAGAGGUGUGAGUAUGGGGUGGUACCAAGCAGAGAGACUAAGGGCAGGAGAGGUUUGACGGUUUUUGGGAAGAGUAGAGACUCUGAGCUGUAUCAUAGUCUAAUCUUUCUGAUACAUUCAGAUCCACCAUCUUCUGGUACUAAUCAUAGGAUACCAAUCAUAGGAUACCGUUGUCAUUGAGAAGAAGUAGAAGAUAAACUAUAUAAUACUCUGAUGAGUGACAUACAGAAUAAGGAAUCAAAGAUCAAGAUGUAGAAUUUAAGGUAAACAUUAAACAAUUUCCUGGGGAAGCAGACAACUGUACAGGAAUUGGGCUUGGCCAGAUUGAAGUACUCAGCCAACCCACCUCGGUUCACCUAAAUUAAAACCACAGCUGCUGCGACAACAACCACAGCUUAUUCUGACAUAACCACAUCUGCACCAACAACAACCACAGCCG